rnacentral:lncRNA from 1 species
AUCCUCCCCCUCCAUUGCUCUACUCAAGACCUAGGGUUUCUUCUCCCAUUCUACUUCCACCUUCUCUUUAUAUUCUUCAUCUUCGAUCUUUUGUGAGAGUCUCCCCCUUGAAUUAUGCCAUUGCAAGUUAUCAAUUGCUGAUUGCCGCCUUCAGUCCUAUGUGACCAUCCUCUGCUUUUCUUCUAUAAGUUCUUCUAAGUCUUCCUAUCAAAUGAUGUUUCUAGGAUUUUAUAGUGAAUGCUAUUGUAGUAUAUCUGCCUUGCAUUAGAUUAACGAAAAUAGC